AACACGGAUUAGAUACCCUGGUAGUCCAUGCCGUAAACGUUGGGCACUAGGUGUGGGGGACAUUCCACGUUUUCCGCGCCGUAGCUAACGCAUUAAGUGCCCCGCCUGGGGAGUACGGCCGCAAGGCUAAAACUCAAAGGAAUUGACGGGGGCCCGCACAAGCGGCGGAGCAUGCGGAUUAAUUCGAUGCAACGCGAAGAACCUUACCAAGGCUUGACAUGUACCGGAAACAUCCAGAGAUGGGUGCCCCGCAAGGUCGGUACACAGGUGGUGCAUGGUUGUCGUCAGCUCGUGUCGUGAGAUGUUGGGUUAAGUCCCGCAACGAGCGCAACCCUCGUUCCAUGUUGCCAGCAACACUUCGGUGGUUGGGGACUCAUGGGAGACUGCCGGGGUCAACUCGGAGGAAGGUGGGGAUGACGUCAAGUCAUCAUGCCCCUUAUGUCCAGGGCUUCACACAUGCUACAAUGGCCGGUACAAAGGGCUGCGAAACCGUGAGGUGGAGCGAAUCCCAUAAAGCCGGUCUCAGUUCGGAUCGGGGUCUGCAACUCGACCCCGUGAAGUCGGAGUCGCUAGUAAUCGCAGAUCAGCAACGCUGCGGUGAAUACGUUCCCGGGCCUUGUACACACCGCCCGUCACGUCAUGAAAGUCGGUAACACCCGAAGCCGGUGGCCCAACCCGUCAGGGGGGGAGCUGUCGAAGGUGGGACUGGCGAUUGGGACGAAGUCGUAACAAGGUAGCCGUA
rnacentral:rRNA from 1 species